UUUAGUAUCAAUAUUCUAACGUUCUUACUGAUGACUGGUUCGACCUCACAUUCAAGCCGAGAGUGAAGUCUACGUCGUCUCAGGGCCGUGGCCGAACAGAAGCUGGUAAACAUUGCUUACGUAGGUGUCGUUGUGUAUGUGAGGCAACCGUUUUGUAGAAAUUACCUGCAUACGAAGAUCGAGUCAUCUUGAAAAGCGUCCUCCAGUGGCUGAAAGCAAUGUGUAUCCCGUCGUAAGACCUAAACGAUCUAAAUCGUGGUAGCUGUGAUCCGUGCAGGUGACUGUAAACAUGAGGGAUCGUUACGAAUAAGUUGUUUAAAAGAAGUGAUUAGCCCGUUCAAGCCUGUGAGUACAGGAAUUAGCGCGGGACCACUGACUGUUUCAACGUGAUUGGGAUAGGAUCGGAAGUGAGUUAACGGGUCAUAUCUGUUCCUAGUGACGCAUUGAAUCUUGUAUAGCUCCCUGUAAGUGUUUCAUGUGUUCUUGUGCUGGGGAAUCCAUCCCCUUGUGUUCUGAAGUGUUUUGUGACUGUCCACAAAGUGGACUGGUGAACGAUGGAAUUAUCACACACAAAAACAUGGCAAGAGGUCUCAGAUUACUUUGGGACUGAUCCAGAAAGGGGUCUCUCAGAAGCUCAGAUCAAGAAAUUUCUUGAAAAAUAUGGCCAUAAUGAAUUACCAGCAGAGGAGAGUAAACCAUUAUGGCAGCUUAUAUUGGAACAAUUUGAUGAUCUGUUAGUAAAGAUUUUACUUCUAGCUGCAGUGAUAUCUUUU